AGGCGGGAGGCGGGCCGGAAAGUUUGUCGGGCGGCCGAGCCUGGGGCUCCGGCGGGGGAUGCGCGCCGGCCCGAGCGCCCCCAGCCCGCACGGGAGUCGUGCUCGCCAUGGGCCGUCCGCAACUGCUCCUGCCCCUGUGUGCCUCUGUGUCUUUGCUGGGUGGCCUGACCUUCGGUUAUGAACUGGCAGUCGUAUCAGGUGCCCUGCUGCCCCUGCAGCUUGACUUCGGGCUUUCCUGCUUGGAGCAGGAGCUCCUGGUGGGCAGCCUGCUCCUGGGGGCUCUCCUUGCCUCCCUGGUGGGGGGCGUCCUCAUCGACCAGUAUGGCAGAAAACAAGCCAUCCUCGGCAGCAAUGUGGUGCUUCUGGCAGGCAGCCUGAGCCUUAGCCUGGCUGGCUCCCUGGCCUGGCUUGUCCUGGGCCGCUUGGUGGCUGGCUUUGCCAUCUCCCUCUCCUCCAUGGCCUGCUGUAUUUAUGUGUCAGAGCUGGUGGGGCCCCGGCAGCGGGGAGUGCUGGUGUCCCUCUAUGAGGCCGGCAUCACCCUGGGCAUCCUGCUCUCCUAUGCACUCAACUACGCAUUAGCUGGUGCCCCCGGGGGAUGGCGGCAUAUGUUCGGCUGGGCCGCGGUACCUGCUCUUCUGCAGUCCCUCAGCCUCUUCUGUCUCCCUGCUGGGACCACUGAGGCGGCAGCCCGCAGGGACCUCAUUCCUCUCCAGGGAGGUGAGGCCACCAAGCUGGGGAGGCCAAGAUACUCCCUUCUGGACCUCUUUAGGGCCCGGGAUAACAUGCGAGGCCGGACCAUGGUGGGGCUAGGGCUGGUGAUUUUCCAGCAACUAACGGGGCAGCCCAACGUGCUGUGCUAUGCUUCUACCAUAUUCCACUCAGUCGGCUUCCGUGGGGGCUCCUCAGCUGUGCUGGCCUCUGUGGGACUCGGCGCCGUGAAGGUGGUGUCCACCCUGACGGCCCUGGGGCUGGUGGACCGAGCAGGCCGCAGGGCCCUGUUACUGGCUGGCUGUGCCCUCAUGGCCCUGUCGGUCAGCGGCAUCGGGCUCGUCAGCUUCGCCGCGCCCAUGGACUCCAGCCCAAGUUGCCUGGCCGUGCCCAACGCCAGCAGGCCGGCAGGCCUCCCUGGAGACUCGAGCCUGCCAGGGGCCGUCGUAAGUCCACCUCCACUGCCAGUGACCAGUGAGAACCAAGGGAAGCCAGUCCCCCCAACCUCUAUGAAAAUCAAGCCCCAUCCCAAAGCUGGGAACCGCACAGCUCCUCCCCUGCCGGCCUUAGGCACCGCCGCCCCUGCGCCCCCUUCUGCCCCCGAGCACGCCCUGCAGCACUGGACCGCGCUGGUCUGCAUGAUGGUCUUUGUGAGCGCCUUCUCCUUUGGAUUUGGACCAGUGACCUGGCUUGUCCUCAGCGAGAUCUAUCCCGUGGCGAUCCGAGGCAGAGCCUUCGCCUUCUGCAACAGCUUCAACUGGGCUAGCAACCUCCUUGUCAGCCUCUCCUUCCUCCACCUCAUCGGCACCAUCGGCUUGUCCUGGACCUUCCUGCUCUACGGGCUGACGGCUGUCCUCGGCCUGGGCUUCAUCUAUGCAUUUGUCCCUGAAACAAAAGGCCAGUCUUUGGCAGAGAUAGACCAGCAGUUCCAGAAGAGACGGAGCUGUUUUCCUGGAGUUGUUUGUGUCUUCCUACAGCAGAGUUUCAUUUAACUUUAAGGCCCAGCUCAUGGGAAUUUUAAAACCAUGCAGUUAUGGAAUCACAUGAGGUUCGCCCUGAGUUUUGGCCACAGGCAGAGCUCCACCAGCAUCCCGUACACCCGCAUCGAGGUCUCUGCCACCUCCUGAGGAGUCCAUCUGCCUGGAAGAUGCUGGAACCAUGGCUUUAGCAGACAGUCUCCAGCUUCCUGCUUGCCUGGCCCCUGCAGCACAAGGUCUCGGAGGUCCUGUAAGUCAUCCCUGCUCCAGGAGAGGUCUUUCGGGCCCGGGUGAAAGAGGAGAAAGUUUGAGAACCCAAAAGUCUUCAUUUUGAAUCUCAGGCUCUGAGGUGCCCUGAGGAUCUGCCUUCUUGCCUCAGUUUCCCCAUUGUCUCUGCACGGCCCUGCAGUACUUACAAUGACAACAUCUCAUGGAGUCUGUUGCUUCCUCAGAGAACAUCUCGGGUACCAGCCCUGGAAGGAAGUCUUCUCUGGCAUCACUCCCAAACCCAGAUGAGGAUACUAUAUUCUCUGCUCUCUUUUCCCAUCUGGCUGGGACUUUCUGGUGAGGGGAAGCCUGCUUUUGUCAUUCACCAGCAACUCAGACUGGUGGAGAAGAUGCUUGAGUUCCAGGCCUGCUCCUCUGGUGUCGUGGCGGUAUGGCCAUAGGCCUCAGUUUUCCCCAUAUGUACAAUGGGCGACCUGGACCAAGGAGUUCUUAAGAUCACUUCCGAUAUCAAUGAGCUAGAAUUCUAAGUGCUGCUAAUACAGUGCAUAUUCAGCAUGGGCCCUGCUCUCAAGUAGCUGGCCAUCUCUUUGGGGAAUGCCAGUUUUAAUUAGGGGAACAGUAAAUAGAAUUCCAGAAUCGUGGGGAAUAAAAUCCAAGAGCUGCCACGGUGCAUGAAGCCAGCUCCAGGCGCUGUUUCCAGGGUGGUGCAGGAGAGCUUUGCAGAACGGAGGUGGGUUUGGAGGCCGACAAGCCCAGCUGUUGGUGUUGCCUGUCUCCUGGCCGCUGUUGACCUUGUCAACAACCUGUGACUAACAGCUUUCCCUAGCCUCAGUUCCCACACCUGCAGAAUGGGAAUGAUUAGGCACCUGGGGGUGUGCUUAACCCCUGUCUUCCUGCAGGAGGGUCUUCAGCUGGUCCCAUUCAGCUAGUCAGGGCCUGAGGGGGCGGUUUCUGCUCACCCUCAGUUACCCAGGUCCCCAUCUUUGGGACAUUGUUAAGGGUCAGCCCCCGACGGGUGAGUCAGAUGGAGACUGAGCAAGGAGCUCAGGCCAGAAGUCACCAGAGGAAGGGCCUGGCAAGAGUGAGUUGCUGGAUGCUGAGGAAAAUGAAGGGCUAAAGCAGACCCAGGGAGCUGGUGUGGGACAACACGUCGUCAUCUGUGCCUGCUGCAUGCCCACAGGACUCUGGCCUCUCAUCUUCUCUCCUCCCGUUCUAGAUGCUUCCCUUGUACCCAGUGGUGUGCGGGAGGUCCCUCCUACUACCUUGUGAGAGCCCAUUGUUAAGUUUUCGGGACUUUUGCCAACUGGUUGUUAAACACAGCCUUUUAAAGAUAUUAAAUUAUUGAAUAUUUCAAUAAAUUAUAUUAAAAGCAAAAGUAAUAAAUACUAAA